GGGCAGGUCAAGGAGACACCAGAUGAGAGAGAGAGGGGGCAGGUCAAGGAGACACCAGAUGAGAGAGAGAGAGAGGGGGCAGGUCAAGGAGACACCAGAUGAGAGAGAGAGAGAGGGGGCAGGUCAAGGAGACACCAGAUGAGAGAGAGAGGGGGCAGGUCAAGGAGACACCAGAUGAGAGAGAGGGGGCAGGUCAAGGAGACACCAGAUGAGAGAGAGAGAGAGGGGGCAGGUCAAGGAGACACCAGAUGAGAGAGAGAGAGAGAGGGGGCAGGUCAAGGAGACACCAGAUGAGAGAGAGAGAGAGAGAGGGGGCAGGUCAAGGAGACACCAGAUGAGAGAGGGGGCAGGUCAAGGAGACACCAGAUGAGAGAGAGAG
ensembl:lncRNA